rnacentral:rRNA from 1 species
CCUGCUCCAUGAAAUUAAAUAGCCGCAAAUUCUGUGCUAAGGUAGCAUAAUAACUUGUUUCCUAAUUAGAAAAUAGAAUGAAAGGACAAACAUUAAUAUUCUUUAAUUUUUAUUUUAAUCUAAACUUCAAUAAAAAUAAAAAUAUUUUUAUUUAAUAGGAGGACGACAAGACCCUAACGAACUUAUCUUCAAAGAUUGACUGGGGUAGUAAAAAAAAAUAAAAUUUAUUUAUUUAUACUAAUUCAAGCUUUAAAGAACAUAAACAAAGUUACCAUAGGGAUAACAGCGCAAUUUAUAUUUAAAGUUCUAAUUAAAAUAUAAUAAUACGACCUCGAUGUUGAAUUAUUAUCUUCUGUAAUAAGCACAAAUAUUACAAGAAAGUCUGUUCGACUUUUAAAAUAUUACAU